GCCCUGCAGUGCAUCCCAGAGCCCCGUGGUCAGACACUCUGCCAUGCCUUUCCUUGCAGGGAUCAGCUGAGAGCAGCUGAAUAAAGCCCAGCCAUGCUUUCACCCCUGUGUGUACAGGACAGUGGGGGGAGAAAAGGGGACUAAAAAAAAGGCCAGUAACUCAGCAUGAAGAAGGGAUAGAGAUUGCAAGCUCUGAUGGAGGCUGGAGAACAGCUCUUCCCUGGAAAAGGCACCAUCUGCUUAAAGACUUCCUGCAACAUGAUUCUAAAACCACAGCACUUCUCCCAUGGCUUUCUGCUGCACAGCUGAUUUUCCACAAAGCUCCAGCUGACUGGGCUGCAGCCCAUCUAUGAAGGAAUUUCAGAUACAUCUUA